rnacentral:sRNA from 12 species
UAUCAUGCCGAAACAUGACAAUGUCCUUUUUAAAUAAAAGGAGACUGCGUGUGGCCUAU